UAUAAUCUCUCUCCUUAUUCUCCAUAUUCUCUCUUAUUCUUCCUCUAUUUUGUAACUCUCUUAAUAGAACAAUAACAUGAUCUGAUUUAGGUUAUGGUAUCAGAAUACAUGAGCUUUGAAUCAAAUCUUCAUCUUCUUCUUCUUCGAUUCCAUAUUUCAAUUAUGUUUUUCCUAAUUCUUAAUGAUAAUUCCUCUAAAUGUCUAUAGAAAUUGAAUUCUUGAAGAAAUCAUCAAGUUUUAAUGGCAACUAAUAAUCAUGCUAAUUCAAAUUUCAACAAUAAUGAAAGUGGUUCAGGAUCUCUAGAAAGGAAUCCAGCUCUCAUUGUUGAUGAAAAUCAUCCUCUCUUUUUGCAUCCUACUGAUGUAAGUGGCACCCCUCUUAUCUUUAUUCAGUUGACUGGUACAGAGAAUUACUCUCCUUGGUGUAGAUCAAUACGUAUUGGUUGGUUAGAAAGAAACAAGCUAGGCUUUAUUGAUAGAACACUAAAGAAAGAGAGUUUUAGGGAAGAGCUUUGGCCACAGUGGGAGAGGGUUAAUGUUGUGGUACUUUCUUGGUUAAUGAAUACUGUAUCUACUUAUCUACUUAGUGGUGUUUUUUAUGCUUCUAAUGCAUGAGGCAUUAGUUGUUUGGGAAGCAUUAAAAGAAAUAUUUGACAAAGUAAAUGGCUCAAGAACUUUAAUCUACACCGUGAAAUUACUACCCUUAGUCAGGGUACUUCCUCUAUGGCUGUGUAUUACUAACUUGAAGAAUGCUUGAAAUGAAUUUGAGUCACUAGUACCCUCUCGUGGAUGUGAUUGUGAAAGAUCCAGAGAUUUCUUGGCCUAUUUGCAAAGACAAAAAUUGUAUUAGUUUUUGAUGGGACUAAAUGACUCUUACUUACAAGACAGAAGUCAGAUAUUGCUCAUGACUCCACUACCUAGUGUAAACCAGGGCUAUGCCAUGAUUAUGAAUGAUGAAGGACAAAAGAUUAUGAUCUCUUCUUCUACUGGUGUUUUUGGUGCAGCACCAUCCACCAGUUAUGAUCCUACUAGUUUCUACACUAAAAUUGAUACUCAAAGUUAUCAGAAAUUCAAGAAAGACUACUCUAUUCAGUGUGACUACUGUAAAAUAAAGGUUCUUCUUAAGAAGCAUUGUUAUAGGUUAGUUCGAUAUCCUCCAAGUUUCAAUAAAAAGAAGAGUAUUCUAGGGGAAAUUCUGGUAGUGCUUAUAGUGUUCAACUUAAUGGUUCUUAUGCUAUACCUUCUUAUAGUGUACAAGGUUAAAAAAACCUACUGCAAGACACAUCUUAUGACUUAGGUUUACAAGGUUCAUUUGUAUAUUUAGUCAAUGAUAAUAAGGUUGUGGCAAAUGUGUCUGGUCUAUAUCAAAAUGGCUCAUGGUGAAAGUCAACCGGGAACUUGUGUGUUUACUAAAUUUUAGUAUGAAUAGAUUCUACAAGUGAUCAACAAGUCCAACACCUCAGGUAGAGUAAAUAUGGUGAACAUAUAUGCUGCAGGUAGAAAUAAGGGUAUAUGUAUACACAUUGAUAGUAGUAUCAGUAAUGCUUUUCUAGUGUCAAGUAAUAGCAUAAAUUGCAUAAUUGACACUGGUGCUACUAGUCAUAUGGUGUCUGAUAUAAUAACAUGUUAGACAAAAACACUAUAACUGAAAAUGUUAGUCCCAAAAAGGUUAAUCUUUCAAAUGGUGAUACUUCACUUAUUACAUAUAUUGGUCACUGUUCAAUUUCCACAAGAAGCACACUUAAGGAUGUCUUUCAGUUACCACAGUUCAAAUACAAUUUGCUAUUAGUUUCCAAGGUAACUAAAGAACUACACUGUGGUGUCUACUUUUAUUUCGACUUUUGUAUUUUUUAGGAUCUCUCAAGUGAGAAGGUGUAGGAGAAUGGUAUGGUGAAAGAUGUUCUAGACUUUCUUAAUCAGUCUCUACUUAGUCAAAGCUUUACCACGAGUGAUGCAAUAAAUUUUUCACAAGUUACAACUUCUAAUGCUUAGGUUUCAACCACUCUUAAUCAAUCAGAUAUUAGUUCGUAGCACAAAAGAUUUGGUCAUGUGUCAUCUUCUAUUUUGAAUAAGUUGUUCUAACAAACUUAAUAGUAUAGUUGAGACCAUAAACAACUGUCCUAUUUGUUCUAGUGCUAACAAGCUACACAUCAUUUUCUAGCUAGUAGUAUUCAAUCUAAUUCUUGCUUUGAUCUUGUUUAUAUGGACAUAUAGGGUCCUUAAAAACCCUAUUGUUAAUGAAAAUAAAUACUUUCUUUCUAUUAUUGAUGACUAUACUAGAAUAACUUAGAUUUAUCUUCUAAAACUUAAGUCUAAUGCUUAUGUAGCUAUUAAGUACUUCCUUACUUUUGUAAAAACUCAAUUCAAUAAGGUUGUUAAGAUACACAGAACAUAUAAUGGAUCUGAAUUUGUUAAUGAAGUCUAUAGUAAUAUGUUUAAAAUAUCAGGUAUAAUUCAUUAAAGGUCAUGUGUUUAUUCUUCUCAACAAAUUGGUCUUGCUGAGAGAAAGCACAAGCACAUACUAGAAGAACAAGAGCCUUAAGACUCCAGGCUAACAUACCUAUAGAGCUUUGGGGACAUUGCAUCCUUGUUGCAGUUUACAUUAUUAAUAGGUUACCAUCAUCUAUAAUUGGAACAUCUCCUUGUAGAAUUUGCAUAACAGAAAGCCUUUCUUAAAUCCCAUGAUAGUAUUAAGUUGCUUAUGUUAUGCUAAAUUAGUUCAACAAUUUGAUAAAUUAAAGUCUAGAACCAAAACUACUAUGUUUUUAGUUUUUUCUGAAGUUCAAACAGGUUAUGUUUUGUAUGAUCUUACUACUCAUUCUUUCAUUGUUAGUAGGGAUGUGGUGUUUAAAGAAUCUAAAUUUCCCUUUAAAGCUUAUCCUGACACUACUAUAUUACUAUUUCUUGAGUCAGAACUAUAUCUCAACAUUUGUUUUAAACUAACUCAGACAAUUCUGAGUUUGUGCAGAAUUUUGAGACUAAUACAUUACAUGGUUCACCUACUAAUAAACCUGAUCAUCAAGACUUGACUCAAGUCUAAGAUAUAAUCCAAGGUCAUGAUGUUCAUGACAUACCACAAGAACCUCCUCCAGUAGCAAAUACUGUUCUCCCUACUAGGAAAUAAGCAACCACUAAUAUGGUGAAAGAUUUCAUCUCUUUGAACAUACAUGACACUCCCUAUUAUAUCUCCAACUAUGUAUCCUAUGACAAAAUAUCUCCUUAUUAUCAGUCUUACUAUCUGCCUUUUCUUUUAUAGCAGAACCUAAUACAUAUACUGAUAUCGUACAAGAUCCCAGAUGGAUUGAAGGGAUGGAGGCAAAAAUACAAGCUCUUCAAGGCAAUCAUACGUGAGAUGUUGUUAGCUUGCUAAUUGGUAAAAACAAUAGGGGUUGAUGGGUUUAUAAAAUUAAAUCAACUGCAUCAAGUGAAAUAGAAAGGUUUAAAACUAGGCUUGUUGCAAAGGGAUAUAGCCAGCAAUAAGGAAUUGAUUAUCAAGAGACAUUAUAUCCUAUUAUCAAGAUGAUCACAAUAACAACCAAUCCUUAAAAUUGCAGCAUCAAAGUAGUGGUAUCUAUCAAAUGUAUGUGUACAAUACUUUUCUAUAAGGAGAUCUCUUUGAUGAGAUAUACAUAUAAAUACCUAAAGGUCUUGUAAGCUAGGAGGAAAAUACCAGUCAGACUUGUCUGCAGAUUGCAAAAUCUCUUUAUGAUCUAAAGCAGGCUCUAAUAUAAUGGAAUGCCAAGCUAAAAGAAGCUACACUUAAACUGAAGUUUAGGAAAAGCCAAUAUGAUCAUGCCUUAUUCAUUAAGUCAACUAAGAAAGAAAUUAUGAUGGUUUUAGUAUAUAUGGAUGAUAUGCUUGUGACUAGUGAUAGCCUAGAGUUGAUUGAGAAAGCAAAAUUAUCUCUGAAAUAGGUUUUUAAAAUGGAAGAUCUAGAAAGUCUUAAGUACUUUUGUUGAAAAUAUGUCUCAGAAAUAAAGUAGGAAUAGAUAUUUCAGUAAUUUUUAAUUAUUAGAGUCCUAUGUGACUUAGGAAUUAGUUUUCCCUUUAUUAUUUGAAUAGAAAUUAGUUAUCCCGAUUUAAAUUGAAGUGUAGUUAGAAAUUUAGCUAUAAAUAUUAGUUUUGAGUUAUUAAUAAAAAAAUCCCUUUGACAAUACUAUUGUCGUAGUUUAUUUCUCUCCAACUUUUUCUCUGUUAUUUCUCCAAUUUCAAAGCUAAAAACCAACAAUUGGUAUCAAGAGCUAGUUUCUUGAGGGAUCUGUGAGAGAUGAAUUCUGAAAACAACUUUUCCCAAAUAGCUCCUCUUGUCUUUGAUGGUGAGAAUUACCAACUUUGGGCAGUAAGAAUGCAGACUUAUCUUGAGGCUUUAGAUCUUUGGGAGGCCGUGGAGGAGGAUUAUGAUGUUGUUCCGCUGUCCGAUAAUCCCACGGUGGACUAGAUCAAAAGUCAAAAGGAAAAGAAAAUCAGAAAAUCAAAAGCAAAAGUAACUUUGUUUGCUAGCGUUUCUCCAAUAAUUUUCAUGAGAAUUAUGGCCUUUAAAUUAGCAAAAGAGAUUUAGGAUUAUCUGAAGGAAGAAUAUACAAGAGAUCAAAGAAUACGAGGCAUGAAGGUGUUGAAUCUAAUCAGAAAAUUUGAAUUGCAAAAGAUGAAGGAACCUGAGACCGUUAAAGCUUCUUGGCAUUGUUAACAAGGCACAAGAGCAAAGGAGGCUUAUGAGGCAGGAUGGUAUGAUUGAAGGAGCUUUGGCAGCCAACCACAAGACUCAAAGCAAGGGUAAUAAUUCAAGAAAAAAUUACCUACCUUGCCAGUACUGUGGCAAAAUAGACCAUCCUUUAUUUGAAUGUUGGAAGAGACUAGAUGCAUAAUGCAAGAUUUGUAAUCAACUUGGCUAUGAAACCGUGAUUUGCGAAAAUAAAUCUAAAAAAUAUGAAGCAGAUGCUUAAGUCACCAAAGAAGAAGAAGAAGAUCACUUAUUUGUGGCAAAGUAUUCUUUAACCAAGAAAUCUGAUUUUUGGAUGACUGAUAGUGGUUGUACAAACCACAUGACAUAUGACAAAACACUUUUUAAAGAGUUUCUGCCUUUGGAAAAUAAGAAAAUCAGAAUUGGGAAUGGUGACUAUAUUCCUGUAGAAGGAAAAGGGAAUGUUGCAAUUAAAACAAUUUCAGGUACAAAAAUAAUUUCAAAUAUCCUUUACGUGCCCGAUAUUGAUAAACGUUUGUUAAGUUUUGGUCAGCUAAUGGAAGAAGGAUUAAAACUAUUGUUUGGAAAUAACUAUUGUUGAAUCUUUGAUUCCACUAAUCUUGAGAUUUUAUAAAUUGAUAUGAGAGACAAAAGUUUCUUAUUUAAUCCAACAGAAGAUGCACAUAAGUCAUGCAAGAACAAAGACGAAUUGGCAAAUUUAUUCAAGAGGUCAAAUUCAGCCGAAGCCGAGAUAAUUUCUGAUCCAAGGAGGAGUGUUGAAAAUAUAUCUCAGAAAUAAAGUAGGAAUAGAUAUUUUAGUACUUUUUAAUUAUUAGAGUCCUAUAUAACUUAGGAAUUAGUUGUCCCUUUAUUAUUUGAAUAGGAAUUAGUUAUCCCAA